rnacentral:misc_RNA from 1 species
CCCUAAAGAGGAGACCCGGG